GCCCAGGUGGUGAAAUGGUAGACACGUAGGUUUCAGAAGCCUAUUCCGCAAGGUGUGAGGGUUCGAGUCCCUCCUUGGGCACCA
rnacentral:tRNA from 1 species